AUCUGGCUUCAGGAUGGGGACAACAGUUGGAAACGACUGCUAAUACCCGAUAUGCCGAAAGGUGAAAGAUUUAUCGCCUGAAGAUGAGCUCGCGGCUGAUUAGCUAGUUGGUGGGGUAAAAGCCUACCAAGGCGACGAUCAGUAGCUGUUCUGAGAGGAAGAUCAGCCACACUGGGACUGAGACACGGCCCAGACUCCUACGGGAGGCAGCAGUGGGGAAUUUUCCGCAAUGGGCGAAAGCCUGACGGAGCAAUACCGCGUGCGGGAGGAAGGCCCUUGGGUCGUAAACCGCUUUUCUUAGGGAAGAAACCUGACGGUACCUAAGGAAUAAGCCUCGGCUAACUCCGUGCCAGCAGCCGCGGUAAUACGGAGGAGGCAAGCGUUAUCCGGAAUUAUUGGGCGUAAAGAGUCCGUAGGUGGUUCAUCAAGUCUGCUGUUAAAGCGUGCAGCUCAACUGCAUAUAGGCAGUGGAAACUGUUGAACUAGAGUAUGGUAGGGGUAGGGGGAAUUCCCAGUGUAGCGGUGAAAUGCGUAGAGAUUGGGAAGAACACCGGUGGCGAAAGCGCCCUACUGGGCCAUAACUGACACUGAGGGACGAAAGCUAGGGUAGCGAAUGG
rnacentral:rRNA from 1 species